rnacentral:rRNA from 1 species
GAUGAACGCUGGCGGCGUGCUUAACACAUGCAAGUCGAACGGACAGGCCCUGCUCUUGUGGGUCGCACGUGUGGCGAAGGGGUGAGUAACACGCGAGUAACCUGCCCUUGACUGUGGGAGAACACUUGGAAACUGGGGCUAAUACCGGAUAGGAGCUCUUGAUCCGCGGUGGGGGUUGGAAAGAUUCGGCUGUUGGGGAUGGACUCGCGGGUUAUCAGCUUGAUGGGGGGGUAGUGGCUUACCAAGGUUUUGACGGGUAGCCGGCCUGAGAGGUGGACCGGCCACAUUGGGACUGCGAUACGGCCCAGACGCCUACGGUAGGCAGAAGUGGGGAAUAUUGCACAAUGGGCCGAAGCCUGAUGCAGCAACGCCGCGUGCGUGAUGACGGCCUUCUGGUUAUAAACCGCUUUCGCCUGUGCCGAAGCGUGCGUGACGGUAACUAGUAAAGAAGCACCGGCUAACUACGUG